GAACAGCUUGGCUUGUUGGGUUAUCAUUCAAAGCAUCGUCCACUUGCAAAUUUUUAUUUCUUUAAAUUCAUCAACAUGUUCGUUUUUUAUUUUUUAUAUUUUGACGGCCAUGUUCAUAUUUUUGUAUACAUGUAUGUUUUGUCCAUUUUACGCAAUUACCUUUAAGCCUGAAAAUCCCCAACUACUCCCUAUUUUCUACCAAAUA